UGCCUGCGAACACAUGGCGCUCGAGAGAGAGAGAUUGUGCGUAAGAGAGAGAUAGUAGCAUAGGCAAGGCGAGGGAACAAGAGAAGAAAAAUAAAACCUUAAACGUCAACUUUGGGGAACACAAAGCGGCUGUCAUUUCUCCAAGAGGCGCCUGCCUUCGCCCGCAAAACUAGUAGGAAUGGGGGAAUGAGGAGGUGUGUUAGCGCCUUGAAUCCCAUCCGCUAACUUUGAGGUGGGUAAACUUCUCAAGAAGUUCGGCGCUAGCGUGCUUUAAUAUAUCUAUCUAUCGGCCGAGAGAUCUUUAAGAAAGGAAGGGAGGGAUCGAGGCAAUGCUGCCUUUGGCCACAGAGGGGCAGUCUAUCGAGGAGUUGCCGCGUCCGUGGCGCCUUAUCUCUCUACAGGCAGAGGCUAGGAUAAAGUUAUACCGAAAACUUUAAAAUUGAUAUCACACCCUAAUUUGUGUUCUACAGGGAGGGGGAGAGGAAAAAAAAGACAGAGCUCAAAAACACACCGGGCUCUGCUUACACCAUGAGAAGGGGAGCUCUUGGCGGCGUUGUGGGCUCGCCCUACAUUCAGCGGGGGAGUUCUCGCUGUGUCUUAGCUCUUGCCGGAGGUCAUGCAAAUCGACCUUAAAAGAAUGCAUAAGCCAUAAAUUAAAAUAAACCCCGUAGCCACGGACUGAUCCGUAAGUAGGCAACAAUACCUAACCUGGACAAAACGGCUUUCCUUGCCAGCUGGAAGAAAAGGAUAGCGCCUAAAGUAACCGUAAAAUUAGUUUCAUGAAUUCGAAAGAAACUUGCAGUGACUUCUGGGUGCCUGGAUUUGUUUUCUAGUGUAUUUGCCUCUUAGCUGCCGUCUUGCUAUUUUCAUUUCUGAUGACAACUAUCACGGAGCACUGCUAGAGCUCAGAGUCAGCCUGUGACGGGGCCAGAUCACAAAAAGAAGAAUGUCUUCCAAGCAGGCCACCUCUCCAUUUGCAUCUGAUGGAGAGGGAACAACAAUCCAGGACUUAGCAUCACAGGAGCAGGAAGACGACAACAAUGAAGAACUUGUCACUUCCCAUCUGCCUCUGCACACCAUAUUGCACAACAAACCUCACUCUGAAGAGCUCCCAGCUCUAGUCACUACAAUCCAACCAGACUCAGACUGGAACAGUGUUAUCUCAACUCAGCAUA